CGUUGGCAGUGCGUUAUCAUUGCACACUGACCUGGAGCACAAUGUGUCUCUCAAGCAUGAAAUUUGCCUCGUGAAGAAUGCUGCAGCGACCCUGAAGAAGUCGGAGUUCGGCAGUUCAGCGGUCUGAGGUUAACGCCAGGUUCUGACCCUGCUUAGCAGCGUAAGAGAUUCCAGCUUUGUUUAAGUGGCUGCCAAGGUUAACAGCAAGGAGACAAUCUGCAGCUUCUCUGCCAUCCAGCGUCCAUUGUGAAUGAUGUGACCAUGAAAAGCUGAUACUGACUAAUAACUGUAACAGUUAUUACUAUAAUUGUUAUUGAAACACAUUACUUGUAAUUAACUAAUAUUCAACAUAUAUGACCCAUUGCAAUAACUGGUUGACUUUGGCUCUUUGUUUGAUAUCUGCAUGAAAAACUAUUUUGCCUCAAUGUUUACUUUAUGCUUUGGGCUGUAACAUGUCAUAAACUAUAUAAAAUAAACCUUAACUUUAUUAUUUACUCAA